rnacentral:SRP_RNA from 1 species
GCCGGCACAUGAUGGCGUGCACCUGUAGUCCCAAUUAUUGAGGCUAAGGCAUGAGGGUGGCUUGAGCCAGAAAUUCUGGGCUGUAGCAUACUAUACUGAUCAAGUGUCCGCCCUAAAUUCAGCAUGGAUAUGGCUACCUCCUGGAAGGAGGGGGCCACUAGGUUGCCUAAGGAGGAGUGAACUGGUUGGAAACAGAGCGGGUCAAAACUCCCAUGCUGAUCAGUAGUCAGAAUUGUGCCUGUGAAUAGCCACUGCACUCCAGCCUAAGCAACAUAGCAACACUCUCUCUCU